GGAUGCGAUCAUACCAGCACUAAUGCACCAGAUUCCAUCAGAACUCUACAGUUAAGCGUGCUUGGGUGAGAGUAGUACUAGGAUGGGUGACCUCCAGGAAAGCUCAUAAGUUAGAGUUU
rnacentral:rRNA from 1 species